UCUGCGCUUCUUUUCUGCUGGUUCCUUAAGAACCGAAUGAAAUGGCCCGUAUACGUUGUACCAGAUAUCUUUACUCAUAAUUAAACUGUCACUUGUCAUACAAUAGACCACCUUGUCUGAAUCGAUCCUUGACCGGCUCACCCUCCUACAUAUCCCAUUAUUAACAGAAACUUGGUAGCAGAGGGAUGGUUUACUAACGACCCAGUCCAGAGUGGUUGAUGUGGGUGUGAGGGGGCGAGUUGGUGAAAGGACGGUUCCCGGAGGACAGGUGAAAACCAUUCGGGGGUGGACAACAAUUCUGCUCAACUCGGGAAACUGAUCUCUGGUCGACCACAAAAUAAGGUAAGCAAAACCUGUUUUAUCAAACUUUGCAUAUUGUCGAAUAGUCAUACCAAAUUACGAUCAGUAGUACCGAGUGUGGGUAAGAAUUUUUGUGUAAAUUUUAUAUAAAUAAUGGACUUGAAAUUGACAGUGAAGUAAACAUAUGUGGUAAUUAGAAUAUCCCGAUAGUCCGGCAUGAGAACGGUCCGGUGGCAGACACCGGUAAGGGAUGAGUAGUAGUUAGAAUAUUCUGAUAGUCCGGCAUGAGAACGGUCCGGUGGCAGACACCGGUAAGGGAUAUUUAGUAGUAGACCUAAUAUUAAUAGAAUAUUCUGAUAGUCCGGCUGUGAACGGUCUGGUGGCAGACACCAGUAAGGAAUAAAUAAUAUAGUCUAGGAUAGAUUUUCACCGAUAGUCCGGCUAGUGACCGGUCCAGCUGUGUCUGGUAAGGUGGUCUAUUAUUGAGUAUUGAUGUGACCAGGAUUAUAUUCUAUGUAUAAGUGAUAUUCGUUCGGGCGUCUGAAAAAGGGCGUGAUCAGUUUUAUCAUUAACAUCUGAGUAUGAUUCGAUCAUUCAUCUGCAAAAGAUAAAUCCAAUUAGUGUUUUAGAUAGAACCAAUAGCCGGUAGUGUCCGGUGAGGUUAAAAUCCAAUAGCUGGUAGUGUCCGGUGAGGUGUCUACAAUAGAUUAAUGUAUGAUUAAGAUAUGUUGGACUGAAAAGUCCGCUUUGUGUUGUGGCCAGAAUGAAUGUGAUAAAUGUACUAAUGUGUGAUGUCAUAGAAUAAGAUGUUCUAAUUGAACAAUUGUGUUUAAAACUAUGUCCAUGUAAUAAUAUUUGUGUGUUGACUAUAGACUAAAUGUAAACGGCGUUUCACAAGUCCCUGAUAUUAUUACCAUUAUUUAAAAUUAUUGUGAGCAAAGUAUUUCCUAAAUUCAAAAAAAAAAAAAAAAAUCUAUUAUCCAAAUUGUUAAAACAUAGUUUAUGUUGAUAAUCAUUUCCUGAAUUGGUGGCUCGUGUUUAAUCAUUAAAACAUUAUUGUUUAAAAUUCUGGAUAUAUGACGGAGAGGCUCUGAGUUAAGACAGAGUACGAGUAAUAGUGUCUCCUAAGAAUACAUCACUGGCACGAGCCAGUGACGGGCUAAGUAUAUCCAAAGAGUGUACAAAAUAUUUCUAAAAAAAAACACGUCAAAUCAGCACCUAAGACAGGUGGAGGAGAGGUUUGGCAUUACACACAAGUUUGGCUCUGUGUAUAGGCCGCAAUCGCAGGGCCUUGUGGAACGCUGUAAUCAAAAUCUGAAAGCUAAGAUAGCUAAAGUGUGUGCAGGGACACAUCUUUCACCCCAUGAAAUAAUGACAGGUAGAGUAAUGCCAGGGCCACCAAGAGAGGGAGGUCAUAUGCCCCCUCUUGAUGUGCACCAGAUAGGGAUGUCUGACUAUGUGAAGAAAUUGACGGAAUUGUCUGCAGCUCUCUCCAAACAGAUACACCGUGUCGCAGAGGGGGAGCUGACUGACGUCCCGGAACAACCAAGGGUAAAAGUUGGGGACUGGGUAAGGAUCAAGGUCCACAAGAGAAAGUGGGCUGAUCCCAGGUGGACUGGACCGUACGAAGUGAAGGAGGUUACUUCACACUCAGUCCAGGUCAAAGGUAAAUUAGGCGCACCUUGGCACCACCUGACACAUUGUACACCAGCCCCAACCCCUGCCAGAACUCUGGCUGAAGUAAGAAGUGAUUUACUCACAUCCAAUUCGAAUUCAAAUUCUGACAUCCCUCCCGUCUGAUCAUGUGGAGGAGACUCCCAUCCUCAGAUGAUAGGGACACUAGAGUAGCACCAUGGGCUAGAAGGGCUAGGAGACCAUGGGAAAGACUGGGUUGUUCUGGCCCAUUGUUUGUCCUAAUUAUAGUCAAUGUUGUUUUGACAUUGGGAGUAAUGAUAUGGGCAGCCCAGCGUAUAAUCACUGACCAGGAACAGACUACCCAGCUAAACAUCACCAAUGCUUCAAUAUUCUCGGAUACGCAUGUUCUGUCUAAACGUCAAGUUCAGAAUAAUGACUUUGAGUGUACUGCAGAAUUGAUUAGGUCAGCUACUCUGUGUAUCCCGCCUAACGCUACUACCACUGUUAUACUUACCUGGGGUGUUAUUGGAAGCCCAGGUGGCGGUUAUGGUACUCAUGCAAUCAGUUGGUCUAGAUCAGUGUGGUACAUGACAGAAGGGGGGUAUAAUAAAUGGACGUGGAAGAAUUUAGUGGCAGAGACUGGUCCUGACUGGUCUAGCUGGACAGUGCAUCAGAUGGCACUCCUGUGGCGGAGCAGGUUGACGUUAACUAAAGUUACAACUGGUUUGAAAUUGGUAAUCAAACACAGGGAAGGUGGUAUGACUUAUGACCUCCAUUGUAACUUUCCUUUGUGGUCUGAUCAGCCUCAUUGGAAAGCCAUUUGGAUGGAGAAUCUAGGGUAAUUUGUAAUACUGAUAUUAAGGUAAUUUAAUACAAAAAGGCAGUGAAAUUUACAUUAUAGUGUCAUUAUAUUUUCUCUGAUGAACGUGGUGUGAAAAUUUAGCUAGGAUAAGUUUUAUUUAUGGUAGACUCAUGUUAAGUAUUUGGGACAUAUUUUGAGCAAACAGGGCAGGGAAGAAAUUGAGAUAUUUGUGUUUGGUUUUAACACCUGUAUAUAGGGGGUGCCAUUUGAAUAUUUAAUUUGUGGUCAUGGGUAAUACGGUUUGUUUUUGUUUUUAUUUUUUAAGGUAAAUUAAUUAUAGUGGGGUUUAAUUAACCUAUAUAAGGACUUUAGAAAGUGCCACCAUAGACAUGUUUUUCUAAAAAAAAAAUCCAUGAGUUUAGAUAAAGCCAAACAGUGAGACAUUUAGUUCAAAUUUGGAAACAUGAGAAAACGAGCUACAGACAGAUAAGGGGAAAAGGCAGACAGAAGAGCCCUCCCCUGCACUGCAGAGACCUUGAAGGUUGGAGAGCAGAGAGGAUAAGUUUUAAAAGGGAGCCAGGACGAGCAAAGAUAACAGAAUGUGUAGAUAACAGUUACUGAGUGGAGACAAAA